UUGUUUUAUAACAACCUGAAGUUGAUGCCCUGCUCAUUCUAAAGCAGUCACCAUGAGAUCUGAAAAUGGCCAAACAUUGCCAGCUUGGAUUUUUGGGGUUUCAUAAUUUUUUCCCUCAUAUCUUAGUUUUUAUAUAUUUAUUUUCAAACUACUUCCUUCUGUAUUCAUCCAUUCAUUCUCUAGUUAUUAACUAUUUGUUAGGCCCUGAGAAGAGGAAAAAAAAUCCAAUAUUUGAACAGAGAUUGGAAACCAGGCUAGGUACGGCCUAUGUCCUCAAAGUUCACAUAUUAGUGGGAAACACAGACAGGAAACGUAAAAUGUCAAUUAAAAAAAUCCUUACAGUUUAUCCUUCCUGUUUCCGAUUGCUCUUUGUGUCACCAUAGUGACAUUAGAGACACAACCCGAAGGAUGAAGAGGGGGAGCCCUAAAGCCUUUCCAGAGCAGGAAAUGAUCUGAAGACAAGAUCGAGAGAUAGGAGGGUAACCAACAUGGCUGGAGGGUGUCUUAGUUUCUUUCCUUGUUGCCGUGACAAAACAUUCUGGCAAAAGGAACUUAAGGGUAAAGGGCGUGCAGCGGCUCGGAGGUCAGGGGUGCAGCCUCUGUGGCUGGGAAACAGGGUUGAAGGAUACAGGUUUGCAGCAGCCCACAGGUCAGGGUACAGCCACUCCCAGAGUCAGAGUCGAGGCGAUGGAGACUGAAGCGGCUGGUCAGUCGCAUCUGCAGGCAGGAAGCAGAGAGCAGUGAACGCAAGCGGCUGCUCAGCUCUCCUUUUCCACGCACGAGCUCCAGAAUCUCAGCCAGGAAACGGUGCUGCUCACAGGGGUAGUGGCGGUCUUCCACCCCAACUAGGGAACUCAGGAUAACCCCCACCAACCUUUAAGAGAAUGGAAAGACGACGCCAGGGAAAGCUACAGUACAGGCAAGCGUCCUCUACAGAAAUCUACGCCUCCAGACGUUGGCAUCAGGAAGAGGGACUUUUGAAUGGGAUCCGAGUCCCUGUGAAAAGAAGCCCAAAGGUGCAUGGAUGGCUUAGUGCAGAGGUUCUCAAUAUGCGGGUUGAGACCCCAGGGGGUGAGGGGGGUCGAACGAUUCUUUCACGGUGGUCCCCGAAGACCACCGGAAAUAUCAGAUACUUUCAUUACGAUUCAUAGCAGUAACAGAAUUAUAAUUACGAAGUGUCAAUGGAAAUAGUUUCAUGGUUGGGGACCACCACAAAAUGAGGAACUGUAUUAAAGGGUCACAGACAUGGGAAGGUUGAGAACCGCGCCUCUGGCUGAGUGGGUAAAAGCACUUUUCCUGGGAACAGACGGCAGAAAGAGCUGACUCACGAAGGGAAGAGCUGACUCACCGAGGUGUCCUCUCCUCUGUCCUCCACUGCACACAGUGAUACACACACACACACACACACACACACACACACACACACACGCACGCGCGCGCGUUAAAAAUGUGACCGCAAAAUAAUUGAAAACCAAAGAAGGCCAUGAGUGGCUCUUGACCCAUCCACCAAGUGUGGACACAGGAAGAAAGCACUAAAUGUGAGCCAGAAGGCCGUCCUCCCCGGACCGCAGACCUACAAGGCCACUUUCCAUCCUUGAGGUCCUAGCCUGGAGAGCUGUGGGGCAGCUAGUGCUUGUAAGCCGCCAGCUGUGAGGUUUUUGCUUGUUUGGUGUUUGUUUCUUAUUCCCCCAGAAGAGACUGAAGCAGUAAGGAGGAUGGAAGAUGGUGGAAGUUACAUCCUGUGAGCUCCUAGGUUGGACUCAGGAAUUGAGAGUGUGUUCGGAUUUUGAAGACAUGAGAAAACUGCAUUAUGCAUUUCUUGAAGCCUUUUCCAUUUAAGUGUGAGUUGAACUUCAUCUGAUCCAGUGUUGAUCACCUCACUGAUAGAACACAACACCAUCCGCCUCGUAUUUUCCCAAAGGAAGGUACAGACUGUGCUUUUUUGGUGAAAUAGUUGUUACCGAGCUGUGACGUGCACUCCUGUAACUGCUUGCAUUCAGAGCCAAGCGGCAAAAGACUGGAGAGAAUAGCAUGGGCUUGUCGCAUCUUCUCGGUAUUUCCUCCCGGAGGCUCCGUGGUGGCCUCUGGCACCAUCCCACUGCUUGGAAGCUGGAGCACAAGAGAGAAGUCCUGGGGAUUUGUGCACUUUUUCUGAGCCUCGGCCAGGAGUGUCCCUGCAGCUCUGAAGGGGAAGACGCCAGGGGAUUCAUUGGGACCUGGGAUGGUUAAUAUUGAUCAUUCAGUUGCCGCUGACUAAAAGCACACAGGAGGAGACAAACCUAGGAACUCUGCAAAAGGAGUUAAAGUGCAUUCCUUGGGUGAGAAGACCCUUCCUGAAGGUGGGCAGUGCUGGUCCAUGGUCUGGAGGCCGGGAGACAGUGAACCCCACGCUGGCAUCAUUUCUCUCUGCUCCCUGGUUGUGGAUGCCAUCUAUGUGACCAGUCACCGUCUCGUCUUCCUGCUGCUGUGCCCUUCCCUGCCAUGAUGGACUGCACCCGCAAACUGUGAGUCAAGAUAACCCUUCCCUUCCUCAAGCUACUGCUGUCCAGUAUUUUAUGACAGUAACUAUGACAGUAACUCACGUAGAAUUCUACCCCUUGGGGGCUCCAGGGCCCAAUUCUACCUUGAGUCUGAGUUAACAGUCUGGCUGAGAGAGGCUGAAAGACUCCAGACAUCUGCACUCCAGCUGUUGUUCCUUUUUUAGAGUACCCAUAGGGGGGCCUCACACAUGCCAGCUAGGCUUCAUAGCUGAAAGAUAUCCAGAAUGCUCUAAACCCCGGUCUGUCUUUCUGCUCCACAGUUACUUCAUACCGAACUUGUCAUGACUGCAUUCCGGGGCAUGUAUCCAAACCUGUGGGUGUACCUUAAGUUUUCAUUACUACAUUUUAUCAGAAAGAUUUCUCCUGUUUUCUCCCUGUCUGUAGCAUGUAGACUAAAUAUAACCGUGAUUCACGUUUUAAACAUGCAUUCAUUUAAUUUACUCCUGGGUAAACAGAGACAUAAAACUUCUCAUACCUCCAGGCAGUCUUGACUUCGGCAUUGAACUCUGCUGGGAGCUUUGUUCCCUUUUUAUUUGAACAAUCUUUAGGCGUGUAAUUAUGAGGCUGCCGACUGGUGUGCAUGGUGGAGAAUGAAGUUUUCAGAUUAGUGAAUGUCUUCUCCAUUUAAAGCAAGACACUUCCCUUCCCCCUGAGUUCCUGACAGAAACAGAACUCCAACCGGAUCACUAAAUUAUGAAAAAAAAAUUAAAGAUAUGUAUCAGAUAAAAUAUACUAACAAUAAAACACUGUGUCCUAAGGUAA